AAGACCUCUUCCCCUAUGAAGAAUGCAAGGAGAAGUUUGGGAAACCCAACAAAAGGAAAGGAUUCAGUGAAGGUUUGUGGGAGAUCGAGCACAACCCAACUGUCAAAGCCUCCGGGUACCAGCCCACUCAGAAGAAGACCUGCCCUGAGGACGCUGAGCCAGAGCAGGAGCCAGAGGGUGAUGGGGAGAAGAAGGGCAACGCAGAGGGCAGCAGCGAUGAGGAGGGGAAGCUAGUGAUCGACGAGCAAUCCAAGGAGAAGAACGAAAAAGCCGGGAUCAAGAGGAAAGCAGAAGAUGCUUUGGAGGACUCCCCCAAGCGCGCCAAGGAGAUGGAGGGGCAGGAAGCAGAGAAGAAGAUAGACAACGAAGAGGCCCCCAAAGAGGAGCCGAAGCCCAACCCAGCCGAAGGGGAGAAGGAGAAGAACAGCGAUGCUGCCAGCGUGCCAGACGCCAAUGAAGCCAAGCAGGAGGGCAAGGAUAAGGCGGAGGAGGUCAGAGACCACAAGGAGAGCCUGUAGUGGCCUCCCUGUCGAGCUGAUCUCCUGCUGUCCCAUCCCUGCUGGGCUCCCAGGGUGUUGCCCCAUCUCGCCCUCGUCGCCUCGUCACGUCCACGGCUCUGGAAACGAGAAACAAACAGAAAAUGAAAUUAAAAAAAAAAAAAAAAGAGAGAGAAAUGAAGAGAAACCCAGUAAUGAGAACCCCUGAACCGACCCGCAUCUCCUGGCCCUGCUGUCGUGGGGCGCAUGCUUUGUAUUAGUGAUUUCUAGGGGGCUGAUCAGUUGAUUUGAAAUAAAAGCGAUUCAUGCCUUUUUAAAGUGCUUCUG
rnacentral:lncRNA from 1 species